UCUGCUUGGUGAUGAGAAUUCUAGGUGGAAUAGGACAUAGUCCUUGCCUUCAAAGAGUUGACUGUCUAAGGGCGGGGAGAAGGACAUGAAAAGCAAUGAUUCCAGAACAAUGUGGAGUUACAGCAUUCUGAGGGGACUGUGGGAACCCAGAGUGGUGGCCCUAGGACCAGAGCUCCACUUCUCACUCAGCUCCAGGUCCCUUGCUUCAUGUCCAUGAGCUCUGAGUAGAAGAAAGUUUGUUUUAACAACGACAACAAAAAAAACCCUGCCUACUGAGCUGUUCAUCAGAGCUACAUUGUGAUUUAAAAGAAAGUGUAGUCUUACAAUCUUAUGUGCAUUAAUAAGAAAAAAUCCUAACUGCGCCUGGCAUUUGGGCAGAUCCCAACAGAGCCUUCGCACAUCUCACAUCACACACAAUCUCAUGACACAUGGCCCCACCACCAGUCCUGAGGAAGGCAGCCACCUUUCACCCAGAGCCUCUGACUUCCAACCCCUUCACUGAGCCACUAAAUGAGACAUAUUCUGGCUGGAGCCUCUGGAGAACCAGACCAAGAAUGGACUUUGCCACCAGCAUGCACCAAUUGGCCCUAUGCCAACUCAGAAUACUGGUUAAAAGGUGUGUCCAGAUCUAAUGAGAGCCUAAGAGGCACCUUUCUACCUGCAUGAUAGAGAAGCGAGCACAGACCUGGGUGUUACUUAAGUCCUCUGAGCCUUAGGUUGCCCAUCUGUGCAAUGGGAAUCAUCAUCAUCACAUAGAGGAGGCCAGCUGUGUGUCAGCUGCUGACCUGAGGGCUUGGUUAGUCCUCACAGCAUCCUGUGAAUUACCAGUGAUAAUGACUCCAUUUUACAGAUGGAGAAAUUGAGGACUGGAGAGCUUAAGUCUCCUUGCCCAAGGCCACCCAACUAGUGAGCAGGAGGGGUGAGAUUCAGCCUCAGAUGGCCUCCAGGAAAUCGGCACAAUUAACGCUCUGCUACAACAUUUCCGAGGAGGAACUGAGACUCUCCACACACAGUCAGUCCCCUCUCUUGAUUCCACCCCCUUUCCUUGUGUCUCCUGGGUUCCUGACCAGGUGGCCUCCUACUCUCUGGCCUUCUGUGGCUCUUAGGAUCUGCCAGGUCCCCCUGUAACCCUCAGCGUCUGCCCCAGGAGACCUGUUUUCUCAGGGCUUCAGAGCCCCCAGAGUCCCACUAACCUCCUCAGGGCAGCUCAAGGCUCUUGGUCCCCCAUCCCUCAGCUCCCACACCCCAGCAAUACCACCCUUCCCUUCCAGCCCCCCGGGGAGGCAGUGGAGUGUGAUGGCUUUCAGCCCGGUUUUCCUAGGAGAGAGGAGAGGAGGGGGCCUGGAAGGUUCCUUCCUCUGCUUCUGUCCUGGCCAACUCAGCCAAGAGGGCCACUAGAGAGCAAAAGCAUCCAGCACAGCUGACCUUCACCGAGGACUCAGGGCACCAGAAAUCUUCCAGGCAAAAUCUCCCCUCCUCCUCCCCAGAAACUUGCAGUGAGUGUUGCUCCCCACCCCCACCCCCAUUUUAUACACAAAGAACAGUGCCCAAUUCCGCCUAACUAGCGAGUGGCAGAGGGGGAAUUCAAACCCCUGUCCAUCUGCUGCAGCACCCACGCCCUCUCUAUUUCCACACACGAGGAGAGGUAAAGGGCCAGCGAGUGUUGAGUGGCUCCAAAUGUCACCCUUAGCCCAGCAGCGGUAGCCUCACAGGGAGCUUGUUAGAAAUACGGACUCUCAGGUCCCUCCCUAGACCUACUGAGUGGGAGCCUGUGUUUAAACAAGAUCCCAGGGGAUUUCAAAGCCCAUCAAAGCUUGGGAAGCCUAGGUCUGGGUCCGUAGUUCGCCACUCUGGCUGAACAGUGGAGUCAGCUCGGGAACUUCACAAAAUGCAAGUGGUGCCCGGACUCCACCCCUGUGGCUCCGAGUUCAUUGGUCUGGACAUCAGGAAUUUUUACAUCUCCCAGUGAUUCUAAUGGACAGCCACCUCUGAGAAGCGCCAGGCAAGAGAAGGGGAAAUCCUGAAGGCAGUGCGGGGGGGAAGUGGCCACCAGCGACUUGCCACCCCUCCCGAAACAGAGCCAGCGGAGGAGGGUGUGACGAGCAUCAGGGAGGCGGGGAGACACAGUGACAGGACGGUGACAGUUUGGGUGUCCUUUCCGCAGGUGCGCGCCAGGGGGCGGAGGGACAGGGGUUUCCUCCUUGAGAACUCGGGCUGUCCUGCAGCCAGGGAAGGCCGCGACCUCUGGGGGUCCCUGCCCGCAUCCAGCGCCCCUUGCCGAGGGAAGCCGGCUCGGCAAGCGGUGCGCGCAGGCUCAGAGGCGUGAGAGCGGGCUGGGCGGCGGCGUGGCCGGGAGCCGAUGACUCACAGGGCGGGGGCGGCUGGGGGCGGCCGCGGAGCCAACUGCAGCAGCCGCUGGCCCAGCCUGCCCCGCAACAGCCAGAGCGGCUCCGGGAGGGAAAGGAGCGAGGCGGCUCCCAGGUGUGGCGCGGCCCUGGGAGGGCGCGUGCGAGCGCUUCUUUGUUUGGUGCGCGCACAGCCCCCGGCCCCAGGCCUGAGCGCCAGCCAUCCCGAGCUGAGUCACGGCUGCAGAGCCCGCGGGCGGCCACACGGCCCCGCCCGGAAGGAUGCGGCCCUUUCCUGAAGCUGGCGAGUCAGAUGCGGUGGCAGGGACAAAAGCCAGGGGAAGGUGGCGUCUAUUCUACAAAGCCCUUUAGGGAAGAGGGAAGUCAGGCCUCCCUCACCCAGUGCGAGUCCGUCACGAUGGUCACCCAGGCAGUCAUGCAGAAAGCCAGCUAGCGGCCGCAAGCCCUGAGGAUGCCACCCCCAAGGGGCUCAUUGCUUUGAGUCACCGGUCCAGGGGCUUGAGGCAAAGAUCCAAGACAGACCUGUAGCAGCAUGGCCCAAAAGGUUCCUCUGCUGCCCCAGUCCCAUACCCGCCUGAGGUAUGGGGAUUCAGGCUGAGUCGGCUGACCUGCAGUCAUCUGGAAGCCUUGUCAGAAAUGCAGAUUCUGCAGUGCUGUUCCCAGAGGAUGAGAUUCAGCAGAACUGGAUCAAGCUCACUAAGACAAUGAUCAAAGACCUGUAAAACUCUGAACUUCUUGAGACAAUAAGGAUACCUCUAACAGACUUGGGAAGAAGUCCUGCACAAAGAGCUGGGGGAAAACGGGAAGAAAAACACACAGAAUACCCACCCCUUCAAGGCAGGCACUGGCAGACCUUCCACUGUGCACCAGGUUCUGUGCUAAGCUUCACCUUGGAGUAACCCUGCCUCUGGGGGUGAAGCUAUUAUAUCUGGGUGCGUAUUGGCCAGCCGACCCUCCAGGCAGCCCUUAAUUCUUGCUUCUCAAACUUACUUCCAAGGACGGAGAAAGAUGACCACUGCUCUCACCCCACUAAAGAAACUCCAGCACUUAGCAAGCAUCUAUGGCCCAGAGCAGACUGUCUCUACUUCAUUUUACUCUCCACACCCAGACUUGGACCACACUUGGAAAAGAACCAGCCAGUGCUGGAGGCUGCAUAUUGUGGAUAGCAGGACUCCACUCACAUCUCAAAGCUCCUCCCUGCCCAUUCCCAUGGUCCCUCCAGCCCUUGGGCAAUGCUACCAAUAGGAAGGAAAAAUGAGCUGGAUUUCACUUCCUUUGGUGCAGAUGUGAAUAAACAGAAUUGGCCCAAA